rnacentral:tRNA from 1 species
UAGGGUUUAGUUAAAAAAAUAUAAUAUUAGGAUGUCAGCCUAAAGUUGCACCCUUUUGCAACCCUAG